rnacentral:misc_RNA from 1 species
GAUGAAGAACGUAGCGAAAUGCGAUAAGUAGUGUGAAUUGCGGAAUUCAGUGAAUCAUCGAAUCUUUGAACGCACAUUGCGCCCUUUGGUAUUCCAAAGGGCAUGCCUGUUCGAGCGUCAUUUGUACCCUCAAGCUUUGCUUGGUGUUGGGCGUCUUGUCUCUAGCUUUGCUGGAGACUCGCCUUAAAGUAAUUGGCAGCCGGCCUACUGGUUUCGGAGCGCAGCACAAGUCGCACUCUCUAUCAGCAAAGGUCUAGCAUCCAUUAAGCCUUUUUUUCAACUUUUGACCUCGGAUCAGGUAGGGAUACCCGCUGAACUUAAGCAUAUCAAUAAGCGGAGGA